CACCGCUUCUCUUAAACCUGCACGGUUGUAUGUGUGCAUGAAAGAAACCUCUGCACUGUUCUGUCUGACACACUGUACCUGGGCUUCUGGCUGUGGUCACGGGGUCAGACCUGGAGAAGAAUGAACCUAAACACCUGCUAGGAGCGUCGAGGUCUGCAGUCAGAACAGAUCAUGUGAUUCGCUCUGACCCGGUGUUGACCCUCUCCACUCGCCCUGGGAUCCUGUGACUUGUGUUUCUGAGGAGCCCUGCAGAGGAAGAGGAGCUUUAAGGCCUGUGACUCCUGAAAUCCAGGAUCGCUGCUGCAGCCACAUCGUGAUCCACAGAGAAGCUUAGCUCGUACACUGUGUGUCCAUGAAGAUUCAAUGAGGUGACAGGGAGGAGACUCGAGGGCCUGAAAUCCACAUGAGGACAAACAGAAGACAGAAGCCGUCCAGGACGUUUACAGCUGCAGGAGGAAGUGACAUCAGAUCCUCCCCGACCCCAAACAUCCCACACAGACCAUAAACCAGUAGGUUCAGAGACAGUUUCUUACCCACAAGCCACCAGGCUCCUGAGCUGCUGACACUGUUUCUUGAACGCACACCACAGUAACACA